ACGAGUUAGGGUGUCCUCUCACGGCGCCCGACCUCCCAACCCUUUGCCUAACAUUACCUUGUGUUGCUUCGGCGGGCCCGUCUCACGACCGCCGGAGGGCCGUAAAACGUCCUCUGGCCCGUUGCCCGCCGGUGGCCCAUACCUACAAACUCUGAACUAAGCGUGUCUUUGUCUGAGUAACAUGACCAAAAAUCAUAAACA
rnacentral:misc_RNA from 1 species